UUGGAGGGCAAGUCUGGUGCCAGCAGCCGCGGUAAUUCCAGCUCCAAUAGCGUAUAUUAAAGUUGUUGCAGUUAAAAAGCUCGUAGUUGAAUUUCGGGAUCAGUACGCCGGUCGUGCCUUCGGUAUGCACUGGUGUCGCUGGUUUCUCCCUUCUGAAGAACCAUCAUGCCAUUAAGUUGGUGUGGCGGGGAAUCAGGACUGUUACUUUGAAAAAAUUAGAGUGUUUAAAGCAGGCUCGCGCUUGAAUACAUUAGCAUGGAAUAAUGAAAUAGGACGUUUGACCCUAUUUUGUUGGUUUCUAGGAUCGACGUAAUGAUUAAUAGGGAUAGUUGGGGGCAUUAGUAUUCAAUUGUCAGAGGUGAAAUUCUUGGAUUUAUUGAAGACUAACUACUGCGAAAGCAUUUGCCAAGGAUGUUUUCAUUAAUCAAGAACGAAAGUUAGGGGAUCGAAGACGAUCAGAUACCGUCGUAGUCUUAACCAUAAACUAUGCCGACUAGGGAUCGGAUGAUGUUAAUUUUUUAAUGACUCAUUCGGCACCUUACGGGAAAC
rnacentral:rRNA from 1 species